rnacentral:rRNA from 1 species
UACGUAGGUGGCAAGCGUUGUCCGGAUUUACUGGGCGUAAAGAGCGCGCAGGCGGCUGGGCAAGUCCGAUGUGAAAGCUUCCGGCCUAACUGGAAAAUUGCAUCGGAAACUGCUCGGCCUGAAGGUGGGAGAGGGUAGCGGAAUUCCCGGUGUAGUGGUGAAAUGCGUAGAUAUCGGGAGGAACACCAGUGGCGAAGGCGGCUACCUGGCCCACUCUUGACGCUGAGGCGCGAAAGCUAGGGGAGCAAACGGG